rnacentral:rRNA from 1 species
GUGGGGAGCGAACAGGAUUAGAUACCCUGGUAGUCCACGCCGUAAACGAUGAGUGCUAAGUGUUAGAGGGUUUCCGCCCUUUAGUGCUGCAGCAAACGCAUUAAGCACUCCGCCUGGGGAGUACGGUCGCAAGACUGAAACUCAAAGGAAUUGACGGGGGCCCGCACAAGCGGUGGAGCAUGUGGUUUAAUUCGAAGCAACGCGAAGAACCUUACCAGGUCUUGACAUCCUCUGACAACCCUAGAGAUAGGGCUUCCCCUUCGGGGGCAGAGUGACAGGUGGUGCAUGGUUGUCGUCAGCUCGUGUCGUGAGAUGUUGGGUUAAGUCCCGCAACGAGCGCAACCCUUGAUCUUAGUUGCCAGCAUUCAGUUGGGCACUCUAAGGUGACUGCCGGUGACAAACCGGAGGAAGGUGGGGAUGACGUCAAAUCAUCAUGCCCCUUAUGACCUGGGCUACACACGUGCUACAAUGGGCAGAACAAAGGGCAGCGAAGCCGCGAGGCUAAGCCAAUCCCACAAAUCUGUUCUCAGUUCGGAUCGCAGUCUGCAACUCGACUGCGUGAAGCUGGAAUCGCUAGUAAUCGCGGAUCAGCAUGC